GUUCCUUCGGGGACAUCUUAUAAAAUUGGAACGAUACAGAGAAGAUUAGCAUGGCCCUUGCGCAAGGAUGACACACACAAAUUGAGAGAUAUAUGAGAUGAAA
rnacentral:snRNA from 1 species